rnacentral:lncRNA from 1 species
AGGAAUCUCUUGUAACCAAAAUGUUAUCAAAAAGUAAAUUUAUAUAAAAAUAAUACCUUUAACAUUAAAAUAUACAAGAAAUUUAUAUAUUUGAAAGAACAAAAUUUAGUUUUAUAAAUAUACAAAACUUAGGUGUGGUGAAUCUUUAAAUUCACCACACCUCUUAUCACCAAUCAAAUUGCCACCUAGAUAAGUAAUAAAAAAUGUUAUUUUUACAAAAAAAAUUAAAAUAAUAGAAAAAAAUAAUGGCGCCAGUUUUAACGACAUUAACACCGUUAGCUAAACCCCAAACCCUAAAUCCUAAACUUUAAACCCUAAAUUUAAACCCUAAAACCAAAACCCUAUACCUAAACCCCAUAUUCUAAAUCCUAAACCCAAAACGUAGACUCUAAAACCAAACCCUAAACCCAAACCUUGGAUCCUAAACCCAAACCCUAUACCCUAAAUAUUUGGGUUAAUGUUGAUGUUGUUCCUUUAGGAUUUAAGGUUUGGGUUUAGAGUCUAGGGUUUGGGUUUAGGGUCUAGGUUUUAGGUUUAGGGUUUACGGUUUGGGUUUAUGGUCUAGGAUAUCGGUUUAGGGUAUACGAUUUAGGUUUUGGAUCUACGGUUUGGGUUUAGGAUAUAGGGUAUAGGAUUUGGGUUUAGGGGUUAGGGUUUAGAUUUAUGGUUUAUAAUUUAGGAUUUAGGAUUUUGUUAGUGGUGUUAGCGUUAUUAAAAUUGGUGUUUUUAUUUUUUUCAGCUAUUUUAAUUUUUUUAAAAAAUUAAUAUUUUUAUUAUUAAUUUAGGUGGCACUUUGAUUGGUGAUAAGAUGUGUGGUGAAUUUAAAGGUUAAACCUAAGCUUUGUUCUAUUUGAAACCCAUGAUCAGUUACAUAUAUACAAAAUUAUUAAUGUAUUUUAAUAAAGCAUGUGCUUCCUUUUCUAAUUUACUUAUUUCCUCAUACAUUUAAACAAUAUUCUUAUUUUAGGUAUUUUCUUAAUUAAAAGGAAAAUACAUUAAUUAGAAAAUUCGUAAAUAUUAUUUCCCCUUAUUUACAAUUUAUGAAUGUACGUAAAUACUUUAUCAAGAUUUUUAUUUAGGAUGUGGCAUAGAUAAUUUCCAUUUGAUGUUGUUUUCGGAAUGACCAUAAACAAGAGUCAAUAUCAAUUAUUGGAGAAAGUUGGUUCAUU